rnacentral:lncRNA from 1 species
UCUCUUCCUCUCCCUCACCCCUUCCUCUCCACCACCGGCCGCCGCCGCGGCCAGGCCGGCGUAGCGGUGCGCCACCCAGCCAUCCAUCCAUUCCAUCUCCACAACGCACCUCCAGCACCAUCUCCUUCUCCUCCCCGAAUCCAUCCAUCUAUCCAUCCACCACGCCAUCACAUCACCAGCACCCCUCACCACCAGCGCCAUUACUCCACUUCCUCUGCUUCCCUUCUUUUCUGAACCUCAACGCCUUCUGCUGCUGCUCCCUCUCUCAACGCCUCCUGCUGCUGCUCCUUUCUUCUUUCACCCCUCCCUGCUGCCCUUCUACUCUUCCUGCUGCUGCUCUUCUUGCGACCCUGCUGCUGCUCCUUCCUCCCUUACGUCGCUGCUGUUCUUCUCUUUCUCUCUGUACCUUGCUGAUGUCCCAUCUCUCCUAGCGCUGCUGCUGCACUUCUUCUGAAGCCCUCUCCUCACACCCGCUGCUGCUUCUUUUCUCCCCACGCCUCUUGCUGCUGCUCCUAGUAUUUCUGAACCACAAAUCUGCUGUUCUUCUCCACCAAACCAAACCUGUUGUUGUUCUCUUUGUGUGUGUGUGUGUGUGUGUGUGUGUGUGUGUGUGUUUGUGUGAUUCAUAAAGAAAUAUUGUUGUGUGAAGAUGAUAUUUGUUCAGUCCGAAGACAUGUGUUGUUCUUACUUACUUUGUUGAUCAGUAGAGUCUGUACUGUUGCAUUGUGACACUCAUUUCUAUGUAUGAGAACUAGUUAAAUAUAUUAAUAAUGUACUGCACUUGCUAAUUAGUGUCCAGUUUACUGUAGACUGUUGCUCAAGUACUUGUGAUAUAUGAAUAUGUGCGUGUGAAUGUGAUGUGAAACAUUUCUAUUCUAUCCUAUAAUUUUGUUUCUUCCCUCUUUUGCAUGUCAAUAGUUAAAAGUGUUCAUGUCCUGUUGAUUCCCUUUCGUCAUUGAUGUUUGUCUGUGUUAGUGUUUUAAUUUCUCAAGCCUAAUAAAAAUACCAAAAAGAUAGUGAGUAUGUUCUGUAUCUUCCUUUGCUGUUUGUAUUUUCUUUUUUGACAAUCUUCGGGAACAACCUUGUUUAGUUUAGGUUUAUUUUCUUGCAUUCGUAAUCAGAAUUGUGUUACCUAGAUUUAGCCGAGCAUAGUUGCCGUCGCCUAGUCCUUGUGGGGAGCACGACACUCGCGAUUUGGGUGAAAUAUCCCACUGCCACUACAAUCGAUCAACAGAUAAACAAGGCAUUUGCUCGAUAACUGAAAAAAUGCUCACUCCAACCAACCUAACAACCAAAUACAGAUAAACAAGGCAUCUACUCACUAUAAACAACCAAAUAUAGCCAUCCGUGAAACUGAAGUGGACAAUUCAUACUUAAACAUCACAUAGACCUAUUGAACAAUACAUUUUUGCAUAACUGGAAUAAUUAAACACGGCACAGUUAAAGCAUCGCACGGCAAAUGCUACUACAACAAAGGGUACGGGUUGGCAAGCUAGAAAAGGUAAUAUUUGCUGAUAGAAUUUUGCCUCACAUUUCAUGGAUGGGAUCCUUCCAGUUGGAAGAGCACAGACCCAUGGUGCGCUCUCUAAUGUCAUCGAUGGGCUGUUUCACCUUGGAAGAACCUUUGUGGGUGCCCUCCUCGUGGUCGUGGUCGAUGAGAUCUGACUUGGCAAUUGAGGAUCCCAAGCCGCUGUCGUAGAACGUGUCCUUCAGAAGUGACAAAAUGAGCUCGAUGGCGUAUAAAGCUCGUAAAUCCUUGACCACUUGGCGGAGGAGAUCAGCGGCAGGGCCGUCGAAGAGAUUGACGGCGGUUGAACCAGAGGGGUUGGGGAUGGACCACUUAACCUGUGACAUGGCCCACGUGAAGCCGUCAGUGUGGACGAGCUUGAUGUCGUAGCCAGCUUUCCCGAGAUACAGUAAUACGCUAGCCCGCUGACAUGAAGCCUUCGGCAUGGCAACGUAGUCAAUGUCUUUGCCGGCUUCCGCGGCGACGUGUUGCUCCGGGAUCGACAGGUCGGGGAGAAGCGGCCACCUCGCCAACGUCCGUCAGAGAGGCCAUGAUAAACCUCUUCUUGGCCGAACGCUCGUCGGGCUCCCCGGGAUACGUGGUCGAGAUUAGGCUGCGACAUUCUGGAGCAGGGGAUGUGGAUCUGGCGGGGAGGGACAUUGCAAGCCUCAUCUAAAAACUCAGAGGAGUGGGGCGACGGUAUGGGAAUCGCUGGAUAACCUGAACUUUAUUAUCUAAGCUAGGAGGAACGGGCAGACCGGCAGGGUUGGCGGCGGCGCCGGCGGCGGCCGCGAGCUAGAGUUUGAAGGGGGGUGGGGGACUGUGGAGGGGGGGUGGUGUUUGAGGAUACGCCGCGGCUACUGAAAAUUUUAGUAAUGGUGGGUGGAGAUGGUGGUGGACGAGGGGCAGAGGGAAGGCGACGGUUCAAAUGCCUCGGCUACUAAAAUUUUACUAUAAGGUCGGUGCUGGAGGAGUGUGGGUGACGGUUGAAGUACGGCGGCUACUAAAUUUGGGUAAAGGAAUUGAUGUGGGGCGGGAGUGCCCAAGAUCGCACACGGUCCAAUAACUAUAUGCGUGUAUGAUAAUAAGGAAAAGUGGCGCGGAUCCGCCAAUUUUUGCAACGCUCAAGGCGGGUAGUUUGUUUUUUAUAUUUCUAGCUCGCUGGUCUAUCGCACACGGUUCGUCCUAAUUUCCAAAUAAACUUACCCGCCUUUAGCUUCCACGGGUGGUGGUUUUACAGCGCACUUGCAUCGCACAUGGUUAAGCCAGUACCUCCACCCUUUGCUCGCGCUUGCGCGGUCGUGGUGAUUUCAGCGCACUUGCAUCGCACAUGGUUGAGCCAGUACAUCCACCCUUUGCUCGCGCUUGCACGGUCAUGGUGAUUUCAGCGCACUUGCAUCGCACACGGUUGAGCCAGUACCUCCACCUUAAUUUGCUCGCACUUGCGCGGUCGUGGUGAUUCACAUCGCACUUGUAUCGACACGAUUUAGAUAUUAUACCCCGUGUCCGUUGAGGAUCAUCGGAGUCUUUGCAGCAAAAAAUAACGUUAGGGAGGGUCAAAAGACAGCCACACCAGCAUGUGGCCCAAAUAUAUAUGAGUGAAAAGGGUGGUAUGUGAUAUUCAAAAUUCCAAUGCACAACUUUGACCCCGCGGGCCCACGUUUGAGCGCGUCAUUGAAGAUCGAUGAGAGGGGCCAGAAGUCAAGAACCACCUGGAAGUGGCCAAAUAUAUGUACGAAUAUUGGGGAUGUUUAAAAAUUUAAAUACACAAUGCAUAACUUUGGUGGCACCUGCCUCGCAAAUCCGAAAGCACCCUAACAACCACCUAGCUAGGAUAUAUAUAAUGACAUAAUGUCGUACCUAGCUAGGAUGCUUGGCCCACCACCUCCCACUUCGUGUCAGCGGGGCGGAUGCACGUAAUGAUCGAUACUUUGGUCAUACAUGCAUGUCGCCAUGACCUACCAUAACACGGACCAAUGAAUAUUUUGUUUGGUCAAAUGAUAGUUGUUGUUGUCGAUAAACCGCUUGGGCCAAUAGAUUGAACCAUGAUAAACAUCGCAUGAGAGGGACCACAAAACCAGCACCUCUUGCAUGCGGCCCAAAAUGAUGUACGUUGGAAAGGGGUGAUGUGUGUUUUCAAUAUAGAAUAAUGUACAAUUUAGAUGUGGUGCCUACCUCUCGAUACAGACAACAACCAUGAAGGCAAGGUAGUUAAGGACAAGAUACGUACGCAGGGUUUGAUGUAGGUUGAACCCAGCAAUUCAAGCAUCUGGGAGGGAAUCCUGACAACGCAUGAGCUCGAGCUUUGGUUGACCGACAUUUGACGGUGAUCGACCCUAACAUGAACUAGGAGGAAUCCAUUCAUGGCCAACACAUACCCCUCAUUAUCGGUCAAAGGGAUGAUAUAUAUACACUCGGGGAGCCCACAGAUAUCCGUGUCGUCACAAAAAACCGCAAAAGGGAGACGUGGUCGAUCAGAAGACCCCGUAUACACUACAUGCGGCCCAAAAAUAUGUAUGGGUACGAUGGUGUAUGAUGCGUUUAAAUCCCAAAUGCACAACUUCGAUGGGCCACGCCAAGUACAUUACAAACCGAACACCGUAGCCGACUCCAAGCCUGGUUCAAUACCUAUGAUGUCAGCUUCCCAACUUCGAGGCGGCAGCGAGGGGGGGGGGUCAUCCCACUUAUGCGCUCAAACUUUAUUUUGUUAGCAUGGGACACAUCUAUAUAUAUCUAUACAUCUAUACAUCUAUACACAUAUAUAGUGUGCGAAUAACUAUGAAGUUGCUCGUUGGAUGAAGCCAAUCCGACGGUACAGAGAUGGCAAAUCCGAGCACUACUGGCCAUUGGAUAUCAUAUACAUUCCACCUGAUUCUGCCACAUGUACAAUCUAGAAGACUCCAUGGUUGAACUUAAGCAUAAUGCACAAACCUCUAAACACAAGCACUUCUCCUUUGUUCUCUAGAAUCUUCCAUAUCUUAAUUGCCCAAACCUUUUUUUUCUAAAUGAAUUGUCACUUUUUGUUUUUACCUUUACAAUGCACAAUUCCAUGAAUCUUAAAAUAAUUUUUUACAAAAUUAAUUGAUUUUGGAUGAGAUGAACUAUAAGAAUUAAACGAACAUCUACAUCAUGCAUAUCUGGGAGAAGAGGCGGGAAACCGAUGAGAGGAGUGGCGAGAAACGGUAGCCUGUUUUGAAUGAAAACCUAGUAGAGAAGGAAGCGUGAGCUACACGAUGCAUGCACACAGUGCUUACCCAUUUACUGCAUGUGCUGUCGAAAGGGCUCAGGGUUGCCGUUCGAUCUAGGAGCAUCCAACGGUGCACACGUACGAUCCGUGGGGUUUGGGUUCUGGCCAGUCAGAACGCAGGACUCAGAUCGCGCGGGCAGCGGGGGGGGGAAUAUCACACGGAAACCAACAUUCGGUGGAAACCGGUGAAAACCACGAGAAAAAAUAUGUUUUGAAGUUUCAAAAAAAAUUCAAAAAAAUGCGGGAUGUUAAGAGGAUGAUGUUUUAUUAGCACACAAAAUUUCAAGUUGAAACACAUUAAGAGAUGUGAGCUAUGAAAAAGACAAAAUCAGUGUUGAAUAGUGCUGAAUAGUAAUGUCACUAUUCAGGGCGGAAUUUGUCUUCUUCAUAGCUCACAUCUCGUAAUGUUUUUCAACUUGAAAUUUUGUGUCGCAAUAAAACAUCACCUUCUUAACAUCCCACAUUUUUUCCAGAUUUUUAUGAAACUUUAAAAUAUGGUUUCCACGAAGUUUUCAUUGAAUAUCGGCUUUCGUGAGUGAACCGUGUGCUAUUUGAAAACAUUUCGUGAGAAUAAUCUUGGUUUUUAAAUCCCCGUAAAUCCAAAACUAAGCUGGAAAUCAUGAAACCUGCCAUGGUAUCACGACAUCGCACUUAUAUGUCGAGGAAUUUUUUUCGUCCAUUGUGGCACAAGUUUUAUUACAAGCCUCUUAUAAAUCGGAGCUUCUCUCAUAGAAGCCUCGUGGUUCCGAUAGGGAAACGUGUCCCCCUUGUGGGCGAAACGUAAUCACUGCCUCUUUUCACCUUGUAUUUUCUUCUACGGGCAACAUGGAAUGACAGGAUAUCUGUGCUGAAAUUUAAACUUAUUCAGGGUUCAUUUGGCCUUUUUAUACACUAACUGAGCUUCCUAGGCAUUUAAUGUCCAUAAUUCAAAUCUGAACUACAAAUACAUGCUCCAGUUCACCAAAAUGGCUAGAAAAAUUUACAUGUGUCCUUGGGUGCAUGUUUAGGUCCCAUGCCAGGAAUGGGAACGAAUUACAACCGUGCUGGUGUCAUGGCUCGUACUCAAACAUUUCGAAUCUCGGUUUUUAAGUCCCCAUAAAUUCUAAACUCACCAGAAAGUCAUCAAAGGUGGCAUGGUGUCACGUCAUGGCACAUAUAUGUCGUGGUAAAAACAUUGUCCAAUUUGGCCAAGCUUUAUUACAAACCUCUUACAAAAACUGGAGCUUCUCUCAAAGAAGCCUCGUGGUUCUGAUAGGGAAACGUGUUCCCCUUAUGGGCGAAACGUAAUCACUUCCUCUUUUCGCCUUGUAUUUUCUUCCAUGGGCAACAUGGAACCACAGGAUAUCCAUGCUGAAAUUUAAACUUAUUCAGGGUUUGUUUGGCCUUUUUAUACACUAAUUGGGUUUCCUAGGCAUUUAAUGUCCAUAAUUCAAAUCAGAACUACAAAUACAUGCUCCAGUUCACCAAAAUGGCUUGAAAAAUUAUACAUGUGUCCUUGGGUGCAUGUUUAGGUCUCUGAUACGUCUCCAUCAUAUCUACUUUUCCAAACACUUUUGCCCUUGUUUAGGACUCUAACUUGCAUGAUUUGAAUGGAACUAACCCGGACUGACGUUGUUUUCAGCAGAGUUGCCAUGGUGUUAUUUUUGUGCAGAAAUAAAAGUUCUCGGAAUGACCUGAAACUUCACAGAGAAUAUUUUUGGAAUUUAUAAAAAAUACUGGCGAAAGAAUCAAGACCAGGGGGCCCACACCCUGUUCACGAGGGUGGGGGCGCGCCCCCUAUCUCGUGGGCCCCCUGAGGCUCCACCGACCUCAACUCCAACUCCAUAUAUUCACGUUCGGGGAGAAAAAAAUCACAGAGAAGGAUUCAUCGCGUUUUACGAUACGGAGCCGCCGCCAAGCCCUAAUCACUCUCGGGAGGGAUGAUCUGGAGUCCGUUCGGGGCUCCGGAGAGGGGAAUCCGUCGCCGUCGUCAUCAUCAACCUUCCUCCAUCACCAAUUUCAUGAUGCUCACCGCCGUGCGUGAGUAAUUCCAUCGUAGGCUUGCUGGACGGUGAUGGGUUGGAUGAGAUUUACCAUGUAAUCGAGUUAGUUUUGUUAGGGUUUGAUCCCUAGUAUCCACUAUGUUCUGAGAUUGAUGUUGCUAUGACUUUGCUAUGCUUAAUGCUUGUCACUAGGGCCCAAGUGCCAUGAAUUCAGAUCUGAACCUAUUAUGUUUUCAUGAAUAUAUGUGAGUUCUUGAUCCUAUCUUGCAAGUCAUUAGUCACCUACUAUGUGUUAUGAUCCGGUAACCCCGAAGUGACAAUAAUCGGGACCACUCCCGGUGAUGACCUUAGUUUGAGGAGUUCAUGUAUUCACUAAGUGCUAAUGCUUUGGUCUGGUACUCUAUUAAAAGGAGGCCUUAAUAUCCCUUAGUUUCCAAUAGGACCCCGCUGCCACGGGAGGGUAGGACAAAAGAUGUCAUGCAAGUUCUUUUCCAUAAGCACGUAUGACUAUAUUCAGAAUACAUGCCUACAUUACAUUGAUGAAUUGGAGCUAGUUCUGUGUCACCCUAUGUUAAACUGUUGCAUGAGGAAUCGCAUCCGACAUAAUUAUCCAUCAUUGAUCCAUUGCCUACGAGCUUUUCACAUAUUGAUCCUUGCUUAGUUACUUUUCCGUUGCCACUGUUACAAUUACUACAAAACUGCUACUGUUACUUUUGCCACCGUCACCGUUACUUCCAUACUACUUUGCUACUAAAUACUUUGCUGUAGAUAUUAAGUUUUCCAGGUGUGGUCGAAUUGACAAUUCAGCUGCUAAUACUUGAGAAUAUUCUUUGGCUCCCCUUGUGUCAAAUCAAUAAAUUUGGGUUGAAUACUCUACCCUCGAAAACUGUUGCGAUCCCCUAUACUUGUGGGUUAUCAAGACUAGUUUCUGGCUCCGUUGCUGGGCAGCAUAGCUCUAUUCUUUGAGUCACUUGGGAUUUAUAUCUGCUGAUCACUAUGAGGAACUUGAAACACGAGAAAACCAAGAUUUAUCCCUCAACUACGAGGGGAGGUAAGGAACUGCCAUCUAGCUCUGCACUUGAUUCACCUUCUGUUUUGAGUAAACUUGCGACACCUAAACCUGCUUCUGCUCUUAAUUCUGAUAUGUCGCAUGUUAUUGAUGAUGCCACUUCUGCUAUGCAUGAUACUUAUGAUGAAACUACUUCUAUGCUUGAUAAUACUGUGCCACUAGGUGAAUUUCUUGAUGAACAACUUGCUAGGGCUAGAGAGACUAAAAUUAUUGAAACUGAUAAUAUCGAUGAAACUGAUGAUGAAGAUUCUCCCCCUAGAUACGAAUUGCCUGUUGUACCUGAGGGUUAUGUUAUGGAUGAACAAACUGCUACAGAUUUUCUUGCUUGCAAUUAUAGAUAUGAUCUUAAGAAAUUAUUAGCUAAGCUGAAAGAAAAAUCUUUGAAUGCUAGAAUGAAAUAUGACCCUGCUUUUGUGUGACGCCUGGAUAAUUAAGCUACAAUAAUCCUAUGUUAAUGGCGCCAGGUCAUCGCGAUUACUGUUGUUAAACUCGCGUUGGUUCGAAUCCAGUCCAUCCGGUCCAAAUUCAAAAUUAAAAUCAAGUCCAACUUUAAAAGUUUUCAAAUGUCAAAAGUAAAAUGUUCAUCAUGUGGCAAAUAUUCAUUUGUUAAUAUUGGUUGUGUGCCAACAUUUUUGUAAAGUGUUUUAAUGCACAACAAUAACUAAAACAGUGGCUUAAGCAAUUAAUUGAAAACCUUUUAUAAUUUAUAAAAUAACAAACUAAGUUAUUUGAGUACCAAACUUUCUGUGGCAGUGCCGAAUAUUGCAAUACUAUUUAUGUGGCCAUCGACACGUUUUACAAAACUCGUUUGCUAACAAUUUAAUAUGCAAAAUAGAGUUAUAAAAGGUAAAUAGAAAGCAGAAAAGGGAGAGAGGUACUACUGGCCACUUUGGCUCAGCUAGCUACACAAAAGGCCCAGCUCACCCCCUCACCUGUGCUGUUUCUCUCGCUACAGGGGACAGGGGGGCCGUGGCGCUCAUCCGCCGGCCAUAUCGUGCGUGGCGGCCAUCCUCCGCCUCCCAGAUGGCUACAAGGGCACCCCAAGUCCCUCCUCUCUCCCCCCGGUCGAACCCUAGCCGCCACUACUUCCCCCCUCGCGCCGUUGCUCGCUUCCCCGCACACACCCGAAGCUAUCGUCGUCGUGCCAUCAUCACCGUCGCGGCCACCGCCGUCGCCUUUGCACAGGAUGACGUCCACGAGGACCGCGGCCGUCAGCUUCAUCCGUUCCGGGCUUCAGCUCAAGACGGGGCGGCUCGUACGCUCGCCAUCACCGUCUCCUUCGUGGCGUACAUCGCCGGCCGCCGGCGUUGAUUCCCACCGCUUCGGUCCACCCCCGGCUUCCUCGUCUGUGCACCCGAGCUCGCUGUGAGCUCCUCUUCCAAAACCCCCUAUCCCCCUCUCGAUUUCGUCGCCGUAGCCGCCGUCCCUAACUCGUCCGAGCUCCCGCGUACGCGUAUGCGUACGCGUACGUGGUGCUCCUGCCCAUGGCCACGCCUGCUUGCUGCUGCCGCACGUUUGGGCCACGCCCCUGCCUGGCCCUGGCGCCGCACUCGCCGCGCCCGCAUCCCGUGCUCCCCGCGCUCGCCCCUGUCCCCUGUGGUCAUGCCUUGGCCGCGCACUGCGCGUGUCCGCCCGCGCUUGGCUGCCUGCCUCUGGCUAGGACCGCGCCCCUCUUGGCCACGCGUGCGCGCCCGCCGCCGCUCGGCCGCUCGCGUGUUGUGCUGCGUUCUGCUGCUGUCGCUGCAUACGGCUGCUAGCUGCUCAACCCUGCUCCCCGCUGCUGCGUUGCUAUGCUGCUGCAUGCGGCUGGCCAUGGCAAGGCCAUGGCCGGGUGUGCCUGUGUGUGUGCGUGAGUUGUGUGGAUUAAUUAGAGUAGGAUUAGUUUAGUGCUAAAUUAGUAUACUAACAAAUGACAUCGGUCCCCUUCAAUUAGAUUAAAUAAAUCAUUUUAGAAAUUUAACAAAAAUCUGACAUGUGGGUCCCCUGUCCAGUUUGACCAGUCAAACUAUUGAAUUGACCCAGUCUAUGACAUGUGGCCCCGUUUGACCCUGUUGACCAGUGAAUAGUUGACUAGUCAACUGUUGAUUGGACACCCCUGGACCCCACCAGUCAGCCUUUGUGGCUAGCACAGAGCUGGGUACACGUAGCAAUUUGUUAUUUAUUUUCGAACUAAAAUAAUUUUAGAAUAUUGUUAAAUCUUUGAAAAAUCAUAUAAAAUAAACCGUAACUCCGAUGAAAAAGUUUUAUACAUGAAAGUUGCUCAGAACGACAAGACGAAUUGGAAUAUAUGGUCCGUUCGUCCGCCACACAUCCCUAGCAUAGCGAACAUGCAACUUUCCCCGUCUGUUUCAUCUGUCCGGAAAUACCUAACUUCAGGAAAGCGUUCUCGGAUGUUUCCCCCUUCGCCGGUAUCGCGUAGUACUGUGUUAGAACACCCCUAGCGUUGCUUAUUGCUUGUCAUGUAUCUUGUUUGCUCUGUAUUUAUUGUUUCUUCCCCCUCUUCUCUCCGGUAGACCCCGAGACUGAUGCUGCCCCUGUGAUCGACUACGUCGACGACGACCCUUCUUCUCUUUUAGCGGAGCUUCCAGGCAAGCCCCCCCUUUGAUCAUCCUGAUAUCGCCCAUUCCAUUCUCUCAUGCUUGCGUUAGAUUUUGCUACUGUUAUUGUUUGCUCCUAUUCUGAUGCAUAGCCUGCUUUUGGUAACCUGCUUAUUGUUACCUACCUGCUUAUCCUAAACUACUUAGUAUAGGUUGGUUAGUGAUCCAUCAGUGACCCCCACCUUGUCCUUGUUGCCCCUGCUUCAUCAUCGAAGACCCGAUCAACGGGAUCGAAGACCGCCCCGGCACCGCACAUCACUUUCCCCUUAGUUGCUCGACACUACUGGGUUACUAUCGAGUGCCGAGGGUGAGACCUCAUCAGCACUUCUGAUGUUAACCCUGUAGUGUAGCUAUCCGGUCGUGGUCAUCGAGGGUGAUUUCCUCCUUAACCACUUCCGAUACGGCUCUGUCGUGCAACCCCUCAAGUGUGAACCUCGAGGGUGGAUCCUCUUACGUUCACCUUGAUGAUUACAUCGAGUGGAAUUCACCGGGGGUGAUUCCUCGGGUUUUCCCCUUGAUGUUUGGACACACGGAUACUUGGACUUUACAACUGUUACUUGGAAAGGCGGGUCGACCCUGAGGGGUACCCGCGAGUGAUGUGGAGACGGGUUGACCUGGAGGGUGCCCGCGAGAUAAUUAUGAGGCGUGGCCGGGCAUUCUUAGCCCUUGCCGCAAGUCCUCGAGACGGGGCGACGGGGUCACAUCUUUUGUGAGUCUCUGCUUGUUACCGCGCAUUCCUAAUCCAUUAUGAUUUGGAUAUUUGAUCCGAGGGGCCUCUGGCCUGAUCACACUAACCAUCACGUGGGCAUAGUAUGGGCGUUCUGCGUCGUAUGCAUCAGCCAAAACUUAAUAGAUGUCAGUGACUGAGCGACGCACGCCGGGUUGGACUGGUAAGCACCUGCCUUUUUGAAGGAGGUAGCUAGGUCUGCUCACCGGCCGCGUUCGCAACGUGCAGGAGUUCCCGGGGCGGUGGCCCAUGACCCCUGGGGGCAUAGGUUUAGUCCGACGUGCUGACCUCUCUAUUAAGCCUAGGUCGGGUUGCGGCGUAUUGUUUGGCCGAGGCCGGGCAUGACCCAGGAAAGUGUGUCCAGCCGGAGUUAAUCGAGCGUGGUGGGUAAGUUGGUGCACCCCUGCAGUGAAGAAAACAUCUAUCGAUAGCCUGUCCUACGGUAACGGACACUUGGAGUUGUAUCCCGAUCGAUACAACUAUAAUUGGAUACUUGAGAUGAGACAUGGAUAUGAGAAAUGGAUAGUAUGGCUCUGGGAUUGCUUUCUCGCAGGGAGUCGAGAAAGGAUCUCUGGCCGAGGUUGAUAACACUACUACUACUUUACUUUAUGCUACUAUACUCCCUCCUGUUGCUGCAAGAUGGUGGUUUCCAGAAGAUGCUAGUCUUCGAUGGGACUAGCUUCUCCCCCUCUUAUUCUGGCAUUUCUGCAGCCCAGUCCACAUAUACAGCCUUCCUUUGAUAAUGUUGCAUAUGUAGUGUAGAUCCUUGCUUGUGAGUACUUUGGAUGAGUACUCACGGUUGCUUUGCUCCCCCCUUUUCCCCCUUUCUUCUUCUUUCCGGUUGAUGCAACCAGAUGGUGGAGUCCAGGAGCCAGACGACACCACAGACGACUACUGGGGUGCCUACUACUACGUGAGACCGCCGACGACCAGGAGUAGUUAGGAGGCUCCCAGGCAGGAGGCCUUGCCUUUUCGAUCAUUGUUGCUUUUGUGCUAGCCUUCUUAAGGCAAACUUGUCUAACCUAUGUCUGUACUCAGAUGUUGUUGCUUCCGCUGACUCUUGUGUAUUCGAGCUUAUGUAUUCGAGCCCUCGAGGCCCCUGGCUUGUAAUAUAAAACUUGUAUUAUUUUAAUUUGUGUCUAGAGUUGUGUUGUGAUAUCUUCCCGUGAGUCCUUGAUCUUGAUCGUACACAUUUGCGUGUAUGAUUAGUGUACGAUUGAAUCGAGGGCGUCACAAGUUGGUAUCAGAGCCGACUGCCUGUAGGUAGCCCCCUUUCCAACUCCUUGGCCGAAGUUGAGUCUAGUCACUACAAAAACUUUUACUAACAUGGUUGUGUGUCUUACGGGCCCACGUUGCCAUUGGGUGGUAUUAGGAUCUUUUACUCCUCGUCUAUACUCUGGGACUCUAAUCUCUCUUCCAUUCGGGUUAAACAUUUUACUAACUCUGACAUUAGGUUCUCGUACCCACUUCCUCCCGGAGAGCCCCGACAUUAUCGAUGAUCGCUUGCUUCGCUAGAAGAUUCUGCGGAUACUCCUCGAUGUUUCUCGAGACCCUGUGCCAACUGCCUUGCAGUUCCUGACCACCGAUAAUCCCCGUGAAUAACAUCCUUGCCGCCUGUACCUUCAUCCCCAGUUGCUCCUAUUAUUACAAGAUACCCCUAGUACUCUUCGUUGUUCCGAGAAUCCUUUGUGCCUUUUGCUUUGCAGCUUCUUUUCGCAUUGCGGAUAAUUCACUUAACCAGGGUUCGUUCAUCCCCAGUUGUUCAUAUGCUUUCCAAAAUACCUGAAAAUGCUAUCUGAUCUUUCAAAAUCCUCAGCAGCCUAUUGCUCUUGAUUCUCCUUGCCUGCUUGCAUUAGGAUUAAUUCCAUAUGUCUAGCAAUAUUCUUUAAAAUUCUUUGUGACAGUCAUUCUGUUCCUAUGUAUUCAGCGUGUGUGCGAAUCGCAAUCAUCAAUUAAUCCUUGGAAAUUUUCUUUCCGGCUCAGAGAUCCUCCCAGAUAUGAGCUGGUUCUUGCCCAAUCCAGAUUUGAUCGGGUGCACCAUCAGGUGCACCUCUAAGUCUAUUCAACGUACUCAUCUUUUGAUCAGAGCCUCUGCUUCUGAUCCUUCGUCUUUAAAUCAUUAUUCCUUUGUACCCAAGCAUCGAAUCAUUCACACGUUUCUAUAAGCCGAUGCCUUUGCAUCCCCUUCUUCAUCUGAUUGAUUACCGAUACUCACAUAAACUCUGUCAUGAAUCGCCAGAUCCAUUGCUGGGUUGUUAUCCGAUCGUGUCCUUCACAUCCAAAAUCUUGUGAGUUUUUCCCUGAUACAUAAUACCUUCGGUAAAUGGUAUCAUCUGCUUUGACUUUGAUACUCUGCUUUCGAACUCGUAUCUUUUGCUUGGUUGAUGGUUGUAUAGAUUCGUAAAAAUGCCCCGAUGGGUUGAACUUAUGCCUUCCAUAAUCCGUGUGAACCCGAGAUUUCUCACGGUCUUACUCUUCUGGUACUUCGCCAGAUAAAUCUUCCGCACUACAAUUUCUUCAAAAACGAGGAGUGAAUGAAAGGUUAUGCAUUGAAGAAGUGGGAGUCGACCUUGAACCUUUGUGUUCAUGCCCAUGGACCCAAUGUAGAACUUAUCUUGGAAGUUGCUCGUAAAAGUAAUUAUUUCUUUGGUACAAGCUCAUCUUGUAUCUAUGAAUUUAUCCUUUGCAACCGUGGUUCCGACCAUAUUUCCUCCUUGAUUCCAUUUAUCGGAUAAGUUAAAAUACUUAUCCUCUGCAAAUCAUUAGCCCCGUCCAACCUCUACUCCGAUUUACCUUCCGACAUUACCCCUAGUACUUGAUACUGGGAAGUUUUAUACCCCAUCACAUCAUUCCUAGCCUGAUCGGCUAUUUUUUUUAUCGUGUCUGAUCAUCCUCUCAAGAAAAAUGAAAUACUUGAUAAAUUUUAUAAUGGACUAACCGAUGCUUCCAGAGACCACCUGGAUAGUUGUGCUAGUUGUGUUUUCAGGGAAAGAAUUGUUGAUCAAGCUGAAUUGCUAUUGAAUAAUUUGUUGAGUAAUGAAAAUAAUUGGACACUUCCUGAACCGACUCCUAAGCCAACUCCGAAGAAAAGGGGUAUUCUAUUUCUCAGUCCUGAAGAUAUGCAAGAGGCAAAGAAAUCUAUGAAAGAAAAAGGUAUUAAAGCUGAAGAUGUUAAGAAUUUACCACCUAUUGAAGAAAUACAUGGUCUUGAUAACCCGACACAGGUAGUAAAGGUAAAUUCUCUCUAUAGAUUUGAUGAAGGUGAUAUUCCUUGUUAUAAGUCUGCUAGCCAAUGCUUAGAUGAGUUUGAUAAUUUUAUUGUUACACAAGAAAACUUCAAUGCUUAUGUUGGUAGAGGAUUGAAACGUAAUGCUUAUAUGAUUGAACACUUGAGUGAUUAUAUGUCUAGAGUUAAAGGUGAACUUAAACUUAUUAGUAAACAUGCUUCUAUGGUUACCACUCAAGUAGAACAAGUGCUUAAAGCUCAAAAUGAUUUGCUCAAUGAAUUAAAUAAUAAGAAAAAUGAUAAAGCUGUUAGAGUUAUGACUAGAGGGGGUAAAAUGACUCAGGAACCUUUGUAUCCCGAGGGCCACCCUAAGAGAAUUGAGCAAGAUUCUCAGAGAACUAAUGUUGAUGCACCUAGUCCUUCUAAGAAGAAGAAAAAGAAAAAUGAUAGGACUUUGCAUGCUUCUAGUGAACCUGUUGUUGACACAUUUGAGAAUCCCAAUGAUAUUUCUAUUUCUGAUGCUGAAACACAAUCUGGUGAUGAACAUGAACCUAGCGAUAAUGUUAAUGAUGAUGUUCAUGUUGAUGCUCAACCUAGCAAUAAUAAUGAUGUAGAAAUUGAACCUGCUGUUGAUCUUGAUAACCCACAAUCAAAGAAUCAAUGUUAUGAUAAAAGAGACUUCGUUGCUAGGAAGCACGGUAAAGAAAGAGAACCAUGGGUUCAGAAACCCAUGCCUUUUCCUCCUAAACCAUCCAAGAAAAAGGAUGAUGAGGAUUUUGAGCGCUUUGCUGAAAUGAUUAGACCUAUCUUUUUGCGUAUGCAUUUGACUGAUAUGCUUAAAAUGAAUCCUUAUGCUAAGUACAUGAAAGAUAUUGUUACAAAUAAAAGAAAGAUACCGGAAGCUGAAAUUUCCACCAUGCUUGCUAAUUAUACUUUUAAAGGUGGAAUACCUAAACUUGGAGAUCCAGGAGUACCAACUAUACCAUGCUCCAUUAAAAGAAACCAUGUUAAAACUGCUUUAUGUGAUCUUGGAGCCGGUGUUAGUGUUAUGCUUCUCUCUUUAUAUCGUAGACUUGAUUUGAAUAAGUUGACACCUACUGAAUAUCUUUGCAAAUGGCCGAUAAAUCAACUACUAUACCUGUCGGUAUUUGUGAGGAUGUGCCUGUAGUGGUUGCAAACGUUACUAUUUUAACGGACUUUGUUAUUCUUGAUAUUCCCGAGGACGAUAGUAUGUUGAUUAUCCUUGGUAGACCCUUUUGAAUACCGCAGGGGCUGUUAUUGAUUGCAACAAAGGCAAUGUCACUUUUCAUGUUAAUGGUAAUGAGCAUACGGUACACUUUCCGAGGAAACAACCUCAAGUCCACAGUAUCAAUUCUAUUGGAAAAAUUUCAACAAUCACUAUUGGAGGUUUUGAAUUUCCUCUUCCUACUGUCAAGAAGAAAUAUGACAUUCUUAUUAUUGGGGACGUGCAUAUUCCCGUUGAGGUAACCUAGUGUUAUUCGAAAAUUCUCCGAUUUCAUGCGAUUCGGAAUGAGUUUGUUAACAAGACUUGAUCAACCUUGUUAAUGGAUUCCUUUUGAUGAGCAUGAGAUGGAUGAAGUUAGAAAGCACAACUCUCUGUACCCUCCUUUUACUUUCUGUUAUUUAGAUUAAAUAAAGCAAAAAUAGUAUUUUCUGGCUGUUUUCUGAAUUAUCCUUGCAAUAAAAAAUACCCCAAAAAUAAAAGUUCUCCAAAUGCCCUAAAAUUGAAAUAUGAUUUUUUUCUAGAAUAUUUAAGAAUAUUUGGCACUGAGAACACACCAGGGGGAGCCACCACCUGGCCACGAGGGUCCAGGGCACGCCCACCCCCUGGGCGCGCCCCCUGCCUCGUGGGCCCCACGUGGCCCCCUCCACUUAUUCCAGGACCCACACACUUCGUCUUCCUCCAGAAAAAAUCACCACACAACUCAAACUCGUGUUCUAGCUUGUUUUGCUGCGAUUUUUGAUCUCCUUACUCAAAGCUCCACUCACAAAACUGCUUUGGGGGAUUGUUCUUCGGUAUGUGACUCCUCCAAUGGUCCAAUUAGUUUUUGUUCUAGUGUUUUAUUAAUUGAAAAUUUUUGUUGCUUAGGUGACCCUGUUCUUGAGCUUGCAUGUCAAAUUUAUUUGGUCCCAAGUAGUUCUAAUGCAUGAUAUAGUCUCUAGGCACUUGUGAGAGUAGUUGCUAUCAAUUUUGUUGAGUUUAGUUCACUUUUAUUUUGAGUCACUAAAAAUUUCAGAAAUUUUUCAGAGGAAGAAAAAUGUUUAGGAAAGUGUACCAAGGUGGUUCUUCAAGGAAGCAAGCACCAAGGCUCACGAUACGUGAGCCGGACUAUGAACUACCAAGAGAAGCUCAAGUACGGCCUUGUGAAUGGCCGUCAGAAGAUUUUAUGGUCCGAGCAGGCAUUAAGGAGGAAUUAGACGCGUAUGUGCGUAAUGCUGAACUCGAGGAUUUCGUGUCAGAUAAGUGCCCCCAACAUUACUACCGAACUGACUCCUUUGUGAGAAGGUUUAAAUUUACAUCAUCACGCAAUUCUCACAUGGUCCUGUUUGAUCUUUAUGAUAAAUCUUAUACCAUGGAUUUAGAGGAUUUUAAUACUGCUUGUAAACUCCCGCAGUGGGGUAAUGCUAGUGAACCUCGCAAAUCUGAAUAUAAAGACUUUCUUGCUAGUAUAACUGUGGGGGAAUCUAGGAAAAUCACGCAAGCUACCAUAGGAAGCAUUCAUUUUCCUGCCAUACAUUAUUUUGCUCUCUUUAUAGGUAGAUGCAUUAACGGUAAGGACGAGGCAUGUCACAUGUGCGUUCUCGAUCUUAGUGUUCUCAAGAGUGCUGUAUUAGGAGAUAAACAAUAUAACUUGGGAGCUAUUGUUACACGAAGGUUGCAUCAUAACAGUAUUAGCGGAGAUUUGUUUGGUGGAAUUUAUGCAACCCGUUUAGCUAAUUUUCUUGAGGUACCCAUUCGUGAAAAUGAUAUGGAGUUGCCUCCUGCUUAUCUAGAUUUUAAUGCUAUGGUUCGUCAUCAGUUUGUUGAGAGGAAUGAACAGUCUCUCCAGUACCGACUAAUCUUUGACAGAUGUCGCGCUGUCCAUAUUACUCUCCCUGCUCCAACUUUCUUUGACUUUCAGGCAAAAAGGAGAUAUGUUAGAACCAGGGAGGAGGCGAACAAGUACGAGAGGAGGAUGGAGGCAUCUCGCCUCCAAGCUGCAGCUCUAGAGGCAGUAGCUACUGCAUCUCUGUACGACCCCAGUUACAACUUCGGAUAUCCGCCAGGCCAUCCAUGGACAUAGACCAACUUAGGCCAAAAUCCUAAGCUUGGGGGAUGAUGUCUACUACACAACCUUCUUUUUGUAGACGUUGUUGCGCCUCCAAGUGCAGAGGUUUGUAGGACAGUAGCAAAUUUCCCUCAAGUGGAUGACCUAAGGUUUAUCAAUCCGUGGGAGGCGUAGGAUGAAGAUGGUCUCUCUCAAGCAACCCUGCAACCAAAUAACAAAGAGUCUCUUGUGUCCCCAACACACCCAAUACAAUGGUAAAUUGUAUAGGUGCACUAGUUCGGCGAAGAGAUGGUGAUACAAGUGCAAUAUGGAUGGUAGAUAUAGGUUUUUGUAAUCUGAAAAUAUAAAAACAGCAAGGUAACAAGUGGUAAAAGUGAGCGUAAACGGUAUUGCAAUGCUAGGAAACAAGGCCUAGGGUUCAUACUUUCACUAGUGCAAGUUCUCUCAAUAAUAAUAACAUAAUUGGAUCAUAUAACUAUCCCUCAACAUGCAACAAAGAGUCACUCCAAAGUCACUAAUAGCGGAGAACAAACGAAUAGAUUAUGGUAGGGUACGAAACCACCUCAAAGUUAUUCUUUCCGAUCAAUCCAUUGGGCCAUUCCUAUAAGUGUCACAAACAGCCCUAGAGUUCGUAGUAAAAUAACACCUUAAUACACACAUCAACCAAAACCCUAAUGUCACCUAGAUACUCCAAUGUCACCUCAAGUAUCCGUGGGUAUGAUUAUACGAUAUGCAUCACACAAUCUCAAAUUCAUCUAUUCAAACCAACACAAAGUACUUCAAAGAGUGCCCCAAAGUUUCUACCGGAGAGUCAAGACGAAAACGUGUGCCAACCCCUAUGCAUAGGUUCAUGGGCGGAACCCGCAAGUUGAUAACCAAAACAUACAUCAAGUGAAUCAAUAGAAUAACCCAUUGUCACCACGGUUAUCCCACGCAAGACAUACAUCAAGUGUUCUCAAAUCAUUAAAGACUCAAUCCGAUAAGAUAACUUCAAAGGGAAAACUCAAUCCAUUACAAGAGAGUAGAGGGGGAGAAACAUCAUAAGAUCCAACUAUAAUAGCAAAGCUCGUGAUACAUCAAGAUCGUGCCAAAUCAAGAACACGAGAGAGAGAUCAAACACAUAGGUAUUGGUACAUACCCUCAGCCCCGAGGGUGAACUACUCCCUCCUCGUCAAGGAGAGCGUCGGGAUGAUGAAGAUGGCCACCGGUGAGGGUUCCCCCCUCCGGCAGGGUGCCGGAACAGGGUCCCGAUUGGUUUUUGGUGGCUACAGAGGCUUGCGGCGGCGGAACUCCCGAUCUAUUCUGUUCCCCGAAGGUUUUAGGGUAUAUGGGAAUAUAUAGGUGAAAGAAGUCGGUAAGGGGAGCCACGAGGGGCCCAUGAGGGUGGAGGGCGCGCCCAGGGGGGUGGGCGCGCCUCCCUGCCUCGUGCUCUCCUCGUUGAUCCCCUGACGUGCACUCCAAGUCUCCCGUAUUGCUUUCUUUCCAAAAAUAACUUUUCCGAAGGUUUCAUUCCGUUUGGACUCUGUUUGAUAUUCCAUUUCUGCGAAACACUGAAACAAGGGAAAAAAUAGAAACUGGCACUGGGCUCUGGGUCAAUAGGUUAGUCCCAAAAGUAAUAUAAAAGUGCAUAGUAAAGCCCAUAAAACAUCCAAGAUGAAUAAUAUAAUAGCAUGAAUACUUCAUAAAUUAUAGAUACGUUGGAGACGUAUCAGGGGAGUACAUAUUUCUCACCGACAUUACAUUCAUGUUCACACACUCAUUCUAGUUGUCGGUGCUCAUACUUUUUCAUUGUACUAUCCAUGCUAGUUUAUUUUCUUUUCUAGUCUUCUUCUUGUGUGUUUGGAAAACCUUAAGAAAAAACAAAAAAAUUAGUUGUAGCUUUUAGCUAGUUUACUUUCCAUGCCUGUAGUAGUAGUAAUUAAAAGAAAACUCAAAAAGCUUUCUCGUUCUUCUUUUGCUUGUUGGGAGCUUUCCCGUGUAAAUAGUUUUAUUUCUUUUCUUUUCUUUGGGGGUCGAAAGGAGAAGACCAUGAUGAAAAUGUUGAGUGGCUCUUAUAUGCAUUAUUGUUGUUUUAACCAAGAGCCCAUAUUACCUUGUAUUCUCCCUUGUAUUAAAUGCCUGCAGAUUCCAGCUUAGUCCAAUGCACGUGCACUAUUAUUAUUAUCCACACAGUUCGAUCGUGCAAGUGAAAGGCAAUAAUGACGAUAUAUGAUGGACUGGUUGAGAUGAGAGAAGCUGGUAUGAAUUCGACCUCUCUUGUUUUUGUAAAUAUGAUUAGUUCAUCAUUCCUGAUUCAGCCUAUUAUGAAUGAAACAUAUUUGUGAUGACAAUUAGAGAUUAUAGUUGCUUUUGCCAUGCUUAAUUAGCUAGGAGUUUAUAAUGGUUUACCUUGCAUGCCAACAUGCUAUUAAAAUGGUUGUGAUGUGGUAUGAUAGGGUGGUAUCCUCCUUUGAACGAUUCGAGUGGCUUGACUUGGCACAUGUUCACGCAUGUAGUUGAAACAAAAUCAACAUAGCCUCCACAAUAUUUAUGUUCAUGGUGAAUUAUAUCCUACUCAUGCUUGCACUCAGUGUUGAUUAAUUUUAAUGCAUGUUCAUGACUGUUGUCGCUCUCUAGUUGGUCGUUUGUACUAAGCGGGAAUACUGCUUGUGCAUCCACUUCCAUAAACCCCAAAGUUAUUCCAUAUGAGUCCACCAUACCUUCCUAUAUGCGGUCUUUACCUGCCGUUCCAAGUAAAUUUGUAUGUGCCAAACUCUAAACCUUCAAAUGAAAUUCUGUUUUGUAUGCUCGAAUAGCUCAUGUAUCAACUAGGGUUGUCUGUAUCUUCCAUGCUAGGCGGGUUAUUCUCAAGAGGAGUGGACUCUGCUCCUCACUUACGAGAAAAUGGCUGGUCACCGAGAUGCCCAGUCCCAUGCUCAAACCAAAUCAAAAUAAUUGCAAACAAAACUCCCCCAGGAUUGUCGUUAGUUGGAGGCACCCGUUGUUUCGGGCAAGCCAUGGAUUGAUGCUUGUUGGUGGUGGGGGAGUAUAAACUUUACCAUUCUGCUUGGGAACCGCCUAUAAUGUGUGUAGCAUGGAAGAUAUCGAGAUCUCUCGGUUGUUAUGUUGACAAUGAAAGUAUGCCACUCAAAAUAUUAUUUAUCUCUAUUUCAAAAAUCGAGCUUUGUCACCUCUACAAAUCCUUGCUUCCCUCUGCGAAGGGCCUAUCUAUUUACUUUUAUGUUGAGUCAUCAUCCUCUUAUUAAAAAGCACCAGUUGGAGAGCACCGCUGUCAUUUGCAUCCAUUACUAUUAAUUUACAUUGAGUAUGACUAUGACUGGAUCUCUUUUACCAUGAAUUACAAUGUCUAGUCAGGCCUUGAUCUUCAGAGGUGCUCUGCAUUUAUGUUUUGCGGUCUCAGAAAGGGCUAGCGAGAUACCAUCUUGUUAUAUCAUAUUAUGAUUGUUUUGAGAAAGUGUUGUCAUCCGAGAGUUGCUCUUAUUGCUCGCUAGUUGAUUAUGCCAUUGAUAUGAGUAAACAUGAGACCUAAGUGUUAUUGUGAAUAUGGUUAGUUCAUAAUCUUUGCUGAAAACCUGAAUGCUGGCUUUACAUAUUUGCAACAACAAGAGCAAACAGAGUUUGUAAAAGUUUUUAUUUAUCACUUUCAAUUUGUCAACUGAAUUGCUUGAGGACAAGCAAAGGUUUAAGCUUGGGGGAGUUGAUACAUCUCCAUCGUAUCUACUUUUCCAAACAUGUUUGCCCUUGUUUUGGACUCUAACUUGCAUGAUUUGAAUGGAACUAACCCGGACUGACGCUGUUUUCAGCAGAAUUGCCAUGGUGUUAUUUUUGUGCAGAAAUAAAAGUUCUCGGAAUGACCUGAAACUUCACAGAGAAUAUUUUUGGAAUUUAUAAAAAAUACUGGCGAAAGAAUCAAGACCAGGGGGCCCACACCCUGUCCACGAGGGUGGGGGCGCGUCUGCCCCCUGGGAGCGCCUCCCCUGUCUCGUGGGCCCCCUGAGGCUCCACCGACCUCAACUCCAACUCCAUAUAUUCACGUUCGGGGAGAAAAAAAUCAGAGAGAAGGAUUCAUCGCGUUUUACGAUAUGGAGCCGCCGCCAAGCUCUAAUCUCUCUCGGGAGGGCUGAUUUGGAGUCCGUUCGGGGCUCCGGAGAGGGGAAUCCGUCGCCGUUGUCACCAUCAACCUUCCUCCAUCACCAAUUUCAUGAUGCUCAUCGCCGUGCGUGAGUAAUUCCAUCGUAGGCUUGCUGGACGGUGAUGGGUUGGAUGAGAUUUACCAUGUAAUCGAGUUAGUUUUGUUAGGGUUUGAUCCCUAGUAUCCACUAUGUUCUGAGAUUGAUGUUGCUAUGACUUUGCUAUGCUUAAUGCUUGUCACUAGGGCCCGAGUGCCAUGAAUUCAUAUCUGAACCUAUUAUGUUUUCAUGAAUAUAUGUGAGUUCUUGAUCCUAUCUUGCAAGUCAUUAGUCACCUACUAUGUGUUAUGAUCCGGUAACCCCGAAGUGACAAUAAUCGGGACCACUCCCGGUGAUGACCUUAGUUUGAGGAGUUCAUGUAUUCACGAAGUGUUAAUGCUUUGGUCCGGUACUCUAUUAAAAGGAGGCCUUAAUAUCCCUUAGUUUCCAAUAAGACCCCGCUGCCACGGGAGGGUAGGACAAAAGAUGUCCUGCAGGUUCUUUUUCAUAAGCACAUAUGACUAUAUUUGGAAUACAUGCCUACAUUACAUUGAUGAAUUGGAGCUAGUUCUGUGUCACCCUAUGUUAUAACUGUUGCAUGAGGAAUCGCAUCCGACAUAAUUAUCCAUCACUGAUCCAUUGCCUGCGAGCUUUUCACAUAUUGAUCCUUGCUUAGUUACUUUUUCGUUGCCACUGUUACAAUUACUACAAAACUGCUACUGUUACUUUUGCCACCGUUAUCGUUACUUCCAUACUACUUUGCUACUAAAUACUUUGCUGCAGAUAUUAAGUUUUCCAGGUGUGGUUGAAUUGACAACUCAGCUGCUAAUACUUGAGAAUAUUCUUUGGCUCCCUUUGUGUCGAAUCAAUAAAUUUGGGUUGAAUACUCUACCCUUGAAAACUGUUGCGAUCCCCUAUACUAGUGGUUAUCAGUCUCAUGCCAGGAAUGAGAACGAAUUACAACCGUACCGGUGUCCUGGCUCUUCCUCAAACAUUUCAAAUCUCGGUUUUUAAGUCCCCAUAAAUCCUAAAUUCACCAGAAAGUCAUCAAAGGUGGCAAGGUGUCAUGUCAUGGCACAUAUAUGUCGUGGUAAAAACAUUGCCAAUUUGGGCCAAGCUUUAUUACAAACUUCUUACAAACCGGAGCCUGUCGCAAGAACCCUCGUGGUUUCGAUAGGGAAACGUGUCCCCUUGUGGGCCAAACGAUAAUCACUCCCUCUUCUAGCCUCCUAUUUUCUUCCACACGCGACACGGAACAACUGGAGAUUCGCGCUGAACUUUGAAAUUAUUCCGGGUUCGUUUGACCUUUUUUAUUCAUUAAUUGAGUUUUCUAAGCAUUUAAUGUCCAUCAUUCAAAUCCGACCUACAAAUACAUGCUCCAGUGCACCAAAAUGGCUAGAAAAAACGUACAUGUUUCCUUAGGGUGCAUGUUUAGAUCCUAUGGAACGAAUGGGAACGAAUUCAACCGUCUCGGCGUCCUGGCCUGGCCACAAACAUUGCGAAUCUCGGUUUUUAAAUGUCUGUAAAUCCAAAACUCACCAGGAAAUCAUGAAACUUGGCAUUGUGUCACUAUAUGGUAUAUAUAAUUGUCCAAUUUGGGCGAAGCUAUAUUACAAGCCUUUUACAAACCGGAGCCCGUCGCAACCCUCGUGGUUCCGGUAGGGAAACAUGCCCCUCUUGUGGGCGAAACGAUAAUCGAUGCCUCUUCUCGCCUUGAACUUUGUUUUCUACAGGAAACAUAGAAUAACAGGAGUGUCGGGCUAAAAUUUGAAACUGUUAGGGUUCCUUUGGCCAUUGUAUAUAUAUUACUAAUUACUAAGUUUUCUAUGCAUUUAAUGUAGUCCAUAAUUCAAAUUUGAACUACAACCACAUGCUCCAGUGAAGCAAAAUGGGUGGGAAAUCGUACAUGUGUUAUUGGGUGCAUGUUUAGGCCUCGUUUAAGGAAUGAGAAUGAAUUACAAACUCGUCAUCGUCCUGAAACAAUGAGAAUCUCGGUUUUUAAAUCCCAGUAAAUAAAAAAGUCACCCAAAAAACAUGAAACUUGGCAUGGUUUCAUGACAUGGCACAUAUAUGUCGUGGUAAAAAAAUCGUCCAGUUUGAGAAGAGGCGCACACAUUAGUAGCCAACGAAGUCCUUUUUGAAACAAAAAGCUGACACGUUAAUAUCGCAAACGGUUGUAUUAUAUUUACCGUGUUGAAAUUUAACCAUACUCGGUGGCGUGCGUGCAGCUGUUUGAUUAGACGGGACGAGCGCGAGAAGUCCGCCGUGCAUGUUCGACGGGACGCGUGCGAGCAGUCCGCUGCCCAGGCUCAACGGGACGCGUGCAUCCUGUCCACCUCGCAGGCUCGAUGGGACACGUGCGAGUAGCAAGGCCGCCCAUGCUCACCGGGAAGCGAGCUCUUUGACCUCCAUGCACCAGCCGCCGCCCGCCUCGCUCACAACUUCUCCAUUAAUGGGUUAAUUAAAGCACCUGGACGGAGGGUGUUUGCUUGUGAUCCCAUGGCAGCAUUUUCUUUGUUCGUGUUUUCAACUACUAUUCCGCCCUAAUUUAAAUUGCCACAUAGGGCAACGGAUAAUACAACCACAAAUAAAAUGGCAACGGAUAAUACGACGACAAAUUUACAAUGGCGCACAUAAUAAUUGUCUUACAUAUUCCGGAUAAAUUAAAAUGCCACAUGCGGCAAAGCCCGGAAGACACGGGGGCAAGAGAAGAAGGAAAUUGCAGACAACGAUCUGGGUCGCUACUGUCUCUACUCGUCGAUGGAUCGCCGGGCGGCGAAAUCCUCCAGCUCCUUCUUCAAUUCCUCACGACUUUGCUUGAAAGCAGCCACGGAUUCCUCCACCUCCUGCUCCCGCUCGAUCCGGAGCUUCCUCAAGCCACCCAUCAGUUCCUUGACGACCGCUUUCAGCGUCAUCUCCGAGGCACUGCUCUGCUCAUGCAGCAUCUUCCGGCCGGCGGCCUCCUCCUCCUUCUCGGCGACCAACUUGAGGAGCUUCGCAUUGUCAUCCAUGAGUUGCUCAACGAGGCCGGUCGCCUUGUCAACCGAGGCAUCGCUGAUCUUGAGCAGCUUCAUCAAGUCGUCGACCAGCUCCUACUGCGUAGUGACACCAGCGAGAAUGUCGUCGUCGCCGGCGAAGGGCUUCAGGAACGCUGGCUCGUCACGAUGGCCGACGCCACGAAUGCGCUUGUGAGAGCCCUCGCGUGCCCGUGAGAGCUCGUUCGAGGGCUCUACGGCGUGCCCGGACAUCUCUGUUGUGGCUGCGGCUUCACGGCGGGACCUCUCUAGUGCUUCCGCGGCCUUGGUCUUUGCUGCCUGGUUAUAUGUCCACCCUAAACUCCUCCUACCGGUCAUGGCGGAACGACUUGACAGAGAAAACCAGUUUUGUGGGUGAUGAGGAGAGGAACUGUGAAGUAAUUUUCGAGUGGGUAGUUUUUAUAGCCCGGUGCUAAGUGUGAACACAUAUUAGUUUGAUAGGUGUGAAUAGAUUUGCAAUUACUUAUUGCAUUGUAAUCAGCAAUGUGACGAGAAACAAGGUCAAAAUUUAUUGAUGGCAGAAGGUUGACCACGUGGUUUCUCACAGUUGAGGCGGCCGCGGCGCGCUCCGCUCUGACGUCCCUGCGCGCGCUCUGCCCGCCAUCGAGGCAAAGUUACAAUGGCAACUGUUAAUAAUUCUUGAUAAUUGUCUUACAUAUUCAGGAUAACAUAAAAUGCCAAAUGCGGCAAGGCCGAGAACACUCACGACCUACAUAUGCAUACAAUUAUAAUAAAAUAUAAGCUAAAAGGCUGAGCUGGCGGCCUUCCGACGAUGGUCUUCUCGGACUCCAUGAUCAACAUAGCACCCUUACUCCGAGUGUCCCGACCCGCCUCCGCCUACGGAGCUGCUGGCACUGGGAGGCUCUUGGGGCUGCUGGGCUAUCGGAUGUGGGGCUCCGGCAAAACCCUUAAGGUUCGAACUCUGGGGUGCGCGCGAAGUCUUUCCCUCCUACCGAUCUACGCCCUAGCUCGCUAAGAUCUCGCGGACGAACUUGACGAACGCACAACACAGAAAGACACGAGAUUUGUACUGGUUCAGGCCACCCUUGUGGUGUAAUACUCUACUCCAGUGUGUGGUGGUGGAUUGCCUCUUGGGCUAAUGAAGAACAGUACAAAGGGAAGAACAGCCUCCUGAGGUUGAGGUGUUCUUGUGCUCUGUGGACUUGUGGAUGAGAACUUGAUCCCUCCCCUAGUAUGGUGGCUAGCUCUACUUAUAUAGGCCCUGGUCCUCUCCCCAAAUAUUUGAGCGGGAAGGGAGCCAACAACGGCGGGCGAAUUUGAAAGGGGACAACUAGUACAAGCUAUCCUAACAAAAGCGGUCUUCGCCGGCAAAAGGCUCUGGUGGUGACGCCGUCUUGGGCUCCACGGUGACCUCCGUCUUGCCGUCCUGCUGGUCUUGGUCUUGUUGCACCGAUAUGGAAACCUUUGCCUGAUGCCUCCGUACUCAGCGCCUGCGCCUGCCUCCUUAGCACCAAAGAGGAAACAAGGAUGCUGCACGCGCUGGCGCCGGCCUGGCGCCAGUCGUCAUGGCUCACGUCACGAGAGCCUCGCGAGGUUUGCCCCACCUUGAUAUCUCCGCUCCUCGGGAGGUAGCCUGGUGAGGUCGCUCCUGAGGAGGUCUUGAGUCGUCCGGCUCGCGAGGCUUGGCCCCUCGCGAGGGUCUUGAAUGCCUUGUUUAUGAAGAUGGGCCGUACAUGCCCGCUAGCAUAGCCACGCCGUGGGCCGCAGGCAGGCAAGUCUGGGGACCCCCGUUCCCAGAACGCCGACAGUAGCCCCCGGGCCCAAGGUGCGCUCGGGCUUGGCUUCGUGGCGAAGCCAAGGGUCAAGUGCGGAGCGCCGCGGGCCCCAAAAGCCUGCGGCCUUGGUCGACGCGUGGCGGUUGAUUGGACGUGGGCGUCUCCACUUCCCCACGUUGCCUCGGCAACUGCACGACUUGAUAAGUCCCUGCGACAUGCAAGGAAAACCAUCAUUACCUGUGAUCGUGGGAGGCACCGGUUGGCCUUCCCUCGCUAUAAAUGGGGAAGGGGGGCGGAGCCCCCGUCGCCAUCUCUUCCUUGCUUCACUCGCUUCUUCCUCCUUGCUCCCCUGCUUGAACCAAUGGUGCCCAUCUGAAGGUUCUUUGCUGAAGAGAAAGGGAAGGCCCCCCGCGAUGAUCCGGGGCCAUUCCCGCCAAAGAAGAGGCCGGUUCAUCACCGCGACGAGGCGGCGAUGCAGGUGGUGACGAGGCCUUGGUGCGAGCGGCCUCUUCCAGGGUACCCGCUUCCCUUGUACGCCCAAGCUGAGGGCUCAGGAGGGCGUAGCGACGUGCGGCAUCGACCGCGCCGCGCCCGUGGUUGCCGCGCGAUGUUGAUGCGUGCCGUUGUCGGUGUCAAAACCGGCGGAUCUCGAGUAGGGGGUCCCGAACCGUGCGUCUAAGGCGGAUGGUAACAGGAGGCGGGGGACACAAUGUUUACCCAGGUUCGGGCCCUCUCGAUGGAGGUAAUACCCUACUUCCUGCUUGAUUGAUCUUGAUGAUAUGAGUAUUACAAGAGUUGAUCUACCACUAGAUCAUAGAGGCUAAACCCUAGAAGCUAGCCUAUGAUUAUGAUUGUUGUUGUCCUACGGACUAAAUCCUCCGGUUUAUAUAGACAUCGGAGGGGGCUAGGGUUACACAGAGUCGGUUACAAGGGAGGAGAUCUACAUAUCCGAAUUGCCAAGCUUGCCUUCCACGCAAAGGAGAGUCCCACCCGGACACGGGACGAAGUCUUCAAUCUUGUAUCUUCAUAGUCCAACAGACCGGCCAAAGUAUAUAGUCCGGCAGUCCGAGGACCCCUUAAUCCAGGACUCCCUCAGUAGCCCCUGAACCAGGCUUCAAUGAUGAUGAGUCCGGCGCGCAGAUUGUCUUCGGCAUUGCAAGGCGGGUUCCUCCUCCGAAUACUCCAUAGAAGAUUUUGAACACUAGGAUCGUGUCCGGCUCUACAAGAAAAAUUCCACAUACCACCAUAGAGAGUAUUAUAUUUCCACAAAUCUAAUCUGUUGAAAACUUUUCAUAGCAUGACGUUCUGCCGUGGUCCGGUCAUGACGAACCGUUUUUCCCAGCCUGCCACUGCACGUGUUGCGAGGCGGUUUUAUUGGCACGUCUUGUCGAAGCAGAGAUCGUGUUCCUCUUAUCACGGGAUUCUCAUCAAUACGGGCGUGGGUAACCCAAUCGUGCCCGUUGGUAUGACUCCUCGAUUUUAGGCAAGUUCCAAACGGCCACGCGGAGGACGCUUGAUAUUCACCCUCUUUAUAAAGGGGCCAAGGCCUGUCCUUUUCUUCUCGCGCUCGAUCCUUCCCUUCCCCCACCUCGAAUUCCAACACCCGAGGCUCCGGCUAAGCGCUUCGGACCUUCAAUCAUGUCCGGAUCCAACCUUCGAGGCUGGUGGAUAGCCUCCUCUGUCACAGAGGAGGACAUCAAGAAGCUAAGAGAAGCCAGGUAUCUGACCGCCGAAAUCUCGCACAGGCUGCCUGCUCAAGGGAAGGUCAUCCCUACUCCCGAACCCAACGAAAGUGUCGUAUUUGUUUCCCACUUCCUCCGAGGGCUAGGCUUUAGUCUUGAUCCCUUUGUUAGAGGGCUUUUAUUCUAUUACGGGCUCGAUUUCCAUGAUCUAGCUCCAGAUUCCAUCCUUCACAUCUCGUCGUUUAUCGUCGUGUGUGAGGCCUUCCUCCGCAUCACUCCACAUUUCGGCUUAUGGCUCAAGACCUUCAAUGUGAAGUUGAAUAUGAUUGAUGGGCGACACGCAGAAUGCGGAGGUGCCAUAAUAAGCAAAGGCGCCGAUGCUCCAUGGCCAAAGGGUUCCUUCCCGGAGACGUCCGACCUAUGGCAGCGGGAGUGGUUUUACAUCACAGCUCCCUGAAGUACCAAGUGGGUAGCUGCCUCCGCCUUCCGUUCGCCCCCCCCCCCCGCCACAACUGGCGUCAUGGGUCAACAAGGAGCAGGACUGGAGGGCAAUUAAUGACGUGCCGACAUUGCAGUCGCAUCCGAGAUCUCCUCAAGAGAGAUGUCAGCCUUGUCAAGGUAAUGCAAGUCAUGUUAGUUCGUCGGGUCCUGCCAAGUCAACGUCGACCUCUCCGUAUGUGGGAGUUCAACCCGGAAGGACCGUGAACUAUUCAGCAAUUCUUCGGCGUGACGCUCGAAGGGAUGUAUGGGUUGUUCUUCGAAUCAUGAAUAAAGUGUCCGGACACCACCGAGGAUGCAGGUCUAAACUGCAAUCGUCCAGAUACCCACGUAAGUAAUUCUGCGGCCGAACAUGCUGUCUUUUAAUUUGUUACAACAUCAUUCUGAAAAAUCGCUCUUUGACCAGGACUGGAUAAAAAAGGCGAAGAUGAUCAGGUGUUCGGCCCCCCUUCCCGAAGGCUCACCGGAUCCUGUACUAGCCAGGAUGAUUGAGCUCGCACCUUAUCAAGCGCCAUCAGGGGAAGAUAAAGGGAGGAACAAAGAAGCCGAAAGCGGGCCUCACGCAUUACUCAUCCAAACCGGGGGAAUUAGUGUUUCCGCGAAGGAGGAUAAUCGGGGAGAAGAAUCUGAAAUUCCCUCUCCCCAAGGAAGGAAAAGGACCGCCUCUGAAGAUUUGGAAACAAGGGUUUCCAAACGAAGGAAGAAACCUUCGCCUGGGGGCCCUGCCCCGGAGGGCGUCCUUACCGCACUGUGCCCGCAAGGGGGUCAGCCCUCCACCGAGCUGUAAGUGAACAAGAGUACUUUUGGUAAAUAUAUCCUGCUUCAUCUCCGAGGACAAUAACCAAGACGUAUGUCUUGCAGUUUGGAUCGUAGCCCUUCUCGACAGAGUUCGUCCUUGGGGGAUCUUCUUCCGGAGAUGAUGGAGAGCGAAACGCCUCCCCCUGUCUCCUCGCCUCAUGAGGCGGACGACCCUGAGGUGUCAUCGCGGAGAAUUUCUCCUGAUCCGCCAAGGCCGGAAGGUAACCCUCUGGCCACCCGAAGUCCGGAGUAUUCGGCUCCUAAGGAGAGCAACAGAAAGAGUUCAGGACUGUCCGGUGCACGACCGGACGUGCUGAUGAGUCUUCUGGAGCAAGCGGCUAUCUCAGAGGCGCAUCGUACUUUAAUGGGUACGGUGGUUGAGAGGAUUUCAUCCGCCAAAAGUGGGUUGCAUGAAGCUUUUAUGAGCCUGCUAAAAGGCUUUGAGGUACGCAAAGUAAUGUAUAUAUUUUUCUUUUUUGACGGUACCGCACACACUAGGAGUGCCCUAUGCAGAUAGUAGCCCCUGAGACUCUGGUUGUUGUCCAAAGGCGGCAAACAGAGGAUCAUAGUCCCAGGUAAUGAUCAUGCUGCUUUCAUGUGCAGGCGGCUAAGGGUCCGGUGGCUGGCCGGACUGUUGAGUUUGUCGAACUGAAGCGACAACUUGAUGCGGCAGAUGCCGACAUCGUGCUUGUAAACAAGCGGCUUGACGAGGCACAUGGUAUGUAUUCUCCGGUGGUUAACAGAUAUUAAGAGGGGCAUGAUGCUAGUAUCUAUAAUAUGCUGUGACUGCAGAUGGAACUGCCGCCGUGGAGACCCUUUGGGCGGAGCUUGCCCGAGCCAAGGAACAAGGCAGGAGAAGUGAUGCGGCCGCCCUAAAGGCGGUCAAAGAAUUAAGAGCCGAACAGGCUGCUCAUCGCCAGAGCGAAGAUAAAAUAGCCAAGAUGGCUGUUGAGCUGAAGGAUGUCGCCGACCGGUAUGAGCUUCUCGAAAAGGAAAGCCAAGCGAAAGCGGCGGACCUGAAGAAAUCCAUGGUAGCGACCAAGGAGACCCGCUCUAAAAUCAGAGCGGCGAAGGAGGAGCUUCGUCAAGCCGGAGAUAUCAUGGGUGGGAAGCCCUUUUUGUUGCGGACGAAGUUCGGAGAUCCGAAGUAUGCCCCUUUGGAUCAAUUAUGGAGUGCUGCAGACGCGUACUUGGACUUGGCAACAAGUGCUGCUGACGCGACUGAGUUUUUCAAAGAUAAAAAAGAUCAUGAAGUGGAAAAGUUGUUCUGGUCGCAGUUCAGUGCUCCAACGCGUCCGCUGCUGUUAAAUGAGCAAAUGGCCGAGUGGGCUGAGCUCCAUAGGUUGUCCGGGCUUGCCAUGAGGUCUGUCGUGGAUCAUCUUUGGCCGGAAGGACCAAGGCCGAAUAGUUAUUUUGGUUUAGUGCAACGAUUCCUUGGUGCUGUGCCGCAUAUCGACGCUACAAAGAGGUCGGCGUGCAUAGAGGGUGCGCGGAUGGCUCUUGCCCGUGUUAAGACAUACUGGGCAGAGAUGGAGGCCACCGCUAUUGCAACCCAGAGUUCGGUCGUAGGCCGGGUAUUGGCCGAGCACUAUUUUGAAGAAGUCCUAGAAGGCGCUCGUUUAAUAGAGGCUCAGUGCUCGAAGAGUAUCAUGUUCUAGUGACAUGUAUCCCAAUUGUAAAAACAAUGCUAUUAUGAUUAUAAAGGCCGUGUUUAUACUUUUGCCUGAAAGUAUUAUGAUGCCUCCUGUGCGGCCAUUUAUGUAUGUAUAUAACCUGAAAGUUUGCAGUCGUCGGAUUCAGCCCCCACGCAUAUAAUGCGGGGGUGUUCGGAAAAGCACAUAUUCACACUUGAUCCAACGUCUUGGUCUAUUAAGGAGGUGAUAGCGCGGCGAACAAGGCAAUCGGACUAUAUUGCUUUAACACUUUCACUUAGCCAUAGGAGUUUGACGGUGGGGCUACUAUAUAGCCCCUGGUACUUCCGCGUCUAUCCGAAUACGGUGCGCGUACAUACAUGACCGGGAAACCGGUCCUUCGUUAAUGCGGAGGAAUCGCGAAGAUUCCGAUGAGUCAUCAAGUGGUUGACCAGUCUCACGCUUUAUCAUGACAGUCAGUUUUCGGCUUUCUACUGAGGUGCUCAUCCAGAUGAACCAGGGCACAAUUUUAGUAGUUCUCCCGGUGCCACCUUAGCCGAUAGAGCGGAACGUAAGGUAGCAAAACACGGGAGCCAGGCAAACCCAACUAUUGACCAAAGACAUGAUUCGGAGCUGAUGCAUAUAAGGCCAAACUCACGACGCCGAACACUCCCUAAGGUAUUCGGUCUUUACAACAUAUACCGGGCUGAGUAACGCCCUUGAUAAUGAACCCUGAAUUUCCAGGUACGUGCAUUAGUCUAACGUGGCGAAAUGCCAAUAACGCCAGCAUCCCUCUCGGUUGUGUUGAGUAUCCCGAGGGUGUGAAGCAACAAGAGACAGUAAGAAAGGUUUACACAGGGUCUUAAUCUAAAAAGAAACCUUUGAGCGGGGCCCUGCUGCACGUCUGCGCCUGUGUCUCCGUUGUGCUGUAUCCUGGAAGGGUGUAGCACGAUUAUCAUCUGUAAAAGAGAAAAACUCAGGUGAAAGUCUUCGUGCGAAAAAUUGGUUAUUCUUAAUAAACCAUUAAAAUUCAAUCUAAAUAAGGUCAACCCAAACUGUAGUUCUUUUUACAUGCGGGAAGCCCCUAGCACCACCUAUGGGGGUAUAUCCACCAACCCAAUCUCAGGUUUAUCUGAGCUGUUACAGCCAGUGUUGCGCCGGACUCGUCUAGCCAUGUCCGCGGUCUUGACGACCGGUCAUUUAUUCUGGUUGGAGAGGCCAGUCAGUGUUCGGCUGCUAAAGCCGCCACACAUUCUUCCGUACGCAAGGAACGCUCUAUGUUUCCGCUAACUAUGAUAGUGCCACGUGGACCGGGCAUCUUAAGCUUAAGAUAAGCGUAAUGCGGUACUGUGUUAAAACGAGCGAAGGCCGUUCUUCCGAGUAGUGCUUGAUAGCCGCUUCGGAAUGGAGCGAUGUCGAAGGUUAACCUUUCACUUCGGAAGUUGUCGGGAGAACCGGAUACAACCUCUAGUACUAGAGAGCCCACGCAGCGGGCCUCUGGGCCUGGUAUUACUCCUUUAAAGGUAGUAUUGCUUUGGUUAAUUCUUGUCGGGUCUAUCCCCAUUUUGCGGACCGUGUCCUGAUAUAUCAGAUUGAGACUACUGCCGCCGUCCAUAAGGACUCAGGUGAGAUGGUAUCCGUUAAUUAUUGGGUCUAGCACCAAGGCAGCAGAUCCUCCAUGCUGGAUACUAGUCGGGUGAUCCCUGCGAUCGAAAGUGAUCGGGCAGGCCGACCAAGGGUUGAACUUGGGGGUGACGGGCUCCGCGACACAUACGUCUCGGAGGGCGUGUUUGCUCUUCCUCUGCGUUACGUGAAUCAUGUUCACUGUUUUGACCUCUGGUGGGAAUUUUUUCUGUCCCCCAGUGUUUUGCUGGCGAGGCUCAUCCUCGUCUUCACUUGGUGUCUCCCUCCCCUUGUGCUCGGUGUUUAGCUUGCCGGCUUGCUUGAAGACCCAGCAUUCUAUGUUGGUGUGAUUUGCAGGUUUGUCGGAGGUGCCAUGAAUCUGACAUAAUCUAUCUAGAAUCUUGUUUAGGCUGGACGGUCCAUCUCUGUUGCCUUUAAAUGGCUUUUUCGGUUGACCGGAUUGAGAGCCCCUGAAUCCGGCGUUUACCGUCGUGUUGUCUGGGCUGUCUUCGUUGCUUCGACACUUGCUUUAAUGGCGUCGCGGUUUCUGCUACCUCUUGAUCACUGCGUUGGUUUUCCCUUGGAGAGGAAAGGGUGAUGCAGCAAAGUAGCGUAAGUAUUUCCCUCAGUUUUUGAGAACCAAGGUAUCAAUCCAGUAGGAGGCUACGCGCGAGUCCCUCGCACCUACACAAACAAAUAAAUCCUCGCAACCAACGCGAUAAGGGGUUGUCAAUCCCUACACGGUCACUUACAAGAGUGAGAUCUGAUAGAUAUGAUAAGAUAAUAUUUUUGGUAUUUUUAUGAUAAAGAUGCAAAGUAAAAUAAAAGCAAAAUAAAAGGCAACGGAAAUAGCUUGUUGAUGGAAGAUUAAUAUGAUGGAAAAUAGACCCGGGGGCCAUAGGUUUCACUAGUGGCAUCUCUCAAGAGAAUAAGUAUUUUACGGUGGGUGAACAAAUUACUGUUGAGCAAUUGACAGAAUUGAGCAUAGUUAUGAGAAUAUCUAGGUAUGAUCAUGUAUAUAGGCAUCACGUCCGAGACAAGUAGAUCGACUCCUGCCUGCAUCUACUACUAUUACUCCACACAUCGACCGCUAUCCAGCAUGCAUCUGGAGUAUUAAGUUCAUAAGAAUGGAGUAACGCUUUAAGCAAGAUGACAUGAUGUAGAGGGAUAAAUUCAUGCAAUAUGAUAAAAAAACCCAUCUUGUUAUCCUCGAUGGCAACAAUACAAUACGUGCCUUGCUGCCCCUACUGUCACUGGGAAAGGACAAUGCAAGAUUGAACCCAAAGCUAAGCACUUCUCCCAUUGCAAGAAAGAUCAAUCUAGUAGGCCAAAGCAAACUGAUAAUUCGAAGAGACUUGCAAAGAUAACCAAUCAUACAUAAAAGAAUUCAAAAGAUUAAAAUAUUGUUCAUAGAUAAACUUGAUCAUAAACCCACAAUUCAUCGGUCUCAACAAACACACCGCAAAAGAAGAUUACAUCGAAUAGAUCUCCACAAGAGAGGGGGAGAACAUUGUAUUGAGAUCCAAAAAGAGAGAAGAAGCCAUCUAGCUAAUAACUAUGGACCCAGAGGUUUGAGGUAAACUACUCACACUUCAUCGGAGAGGUUAUGGUGUUGAUGUAGAAGCCCUCCAUGAUCGAUGCCCCCUCCGGCGGAGCUCCGGAACAGGCCCCAAGAUGGGAUCUCACGGGUACAGAAGGUUGCGGCAGUGGAAUUAGGUUUUUGGCUCCGUAUCUGAUCGUUUGGGGGUAUGUAGGUAUAUAUAGGAGGAAGGAGUACGUCGGUGGAGCAACAUGGGGCCCACGAGGGUGGAGGGCGCGCCUGGGGGGGUAGGCGCGCCCCCUACCUCGUGGCUUCCUGUUUGAUUUCUUGACGUAGGGUCCAAGUCCUCUGGAUCAUGUUCAUUCCGAAAAUCACGUUCCCAAAGGUUUCAUUCCGUUUGGACUCCGUUUGAUAUUCUUUUUCUGCGAAACUCUGAAAUAGGUAAAAAAACAUCAAUUCUGGGCUAGGCCUCCGGGUAAUAGGUUAGUCCCAAAAAUAAUAUAAAAGUGAAUAAUAAAUCCCAAUAAUGUCCAAAACAGAAGAUAAUAUAGCAUGGAGCAAUAAAAAAUUAUAGAUACGUUGGAGACGUAUCAAGCAUCCCCAAGCUUAAUUCCUGCUCGUCCUCGAGUAGGUAAUGAUAAAAAUAGAAUUUUUGAUGUGGAAUGCUAUUUGGCAUAAUUUCAAUGUAAUUCUUCUUUAUUGUGGUAUGAAUAUUCAGAUCCGAAAGAUUCAAGAUAAAAGUUCAAUAUUGACAUAAAAAUAAUAAUACUUCAAGCAUACUAACUAAGCAAUUAUGUCCUCUCAAAAUAACAUGGCCAAAGAAAGUUCAUCCCUACAAAAUCAUAUAGUUUAGUCAUGCUCCAUUUUCGUCACACAAGAAUGCUCUCAUCACGCACAACCCCGAUGACAAGCCAAGCAAUUGUUUCAUACUUCAGUAAUCUCAAACUUUUUCAACUUUCAUGCAAUACAUGAGCGUGAGCCAUGGACAUAGCACUAUGCGUGGAAUAGAAUAUGAUGAUGGGGGUUAUGUGGAGAAGACAAAAAAGGUGAAAGUCUCAAAUCAAUGGGCUAUGGAGAUGCCCAUCGAUUGAUGUUAAUGCGAGGAGUAGGGAUUGCCAUGGAACGGAUGCACUAGAGCUAUAAAUAUAUGAAAGCUCAACAAAAGAAACUAAGUGGGUGUGCAUCCAACUUGCUUGCUCACGAAGACCUAGGGCACUUGAGGAGGCCCAUUGUUGGAAUAUACAAGCCAAGUUCUAUAAUGAAAAAUUCCCACUAGUAUAUGAAAGUGACAAAACAAGAGACUCUCUAUCAUGAAGAUUAUGGUGCUACUUUGAAGCACAAGUGUGGUAAAAGGAUAGUAACAUUGUCCCUUCUCUCUUUUUCUCUCAUUUUUUUGGGCCUUCUCUUUUUUAUGGCCUUUCUCUCUUUUUUUAUUCCUCACUUGGGACAAUGCUCUAGAAAAUGAUGAUCAUCACACUUCUAUUUAUUUACAACUCAAUGAUUACAACUCGAUACUAGAACAAAGUAUGACUCUAUAUGAAUGCCUCCGGCGGUGUACCAGGAUAUGCAAUGAACCAUGAGUGACAUGUAUGAAAGAAUUAUGAACGGUGGCUUAGCCACAAAUACUAUGUCAACAACAUGAUCAUGCAAAGCAAUAUGACAAUGAUGAACGUGUCAUGAUAAACGGAACGGUGGAAAGUUGCAUGGCAAUAUAUCUCGGAAUGGCUAUGGAAAUGCCAUAAUAGUAUGGUGGCUGUUUUGAGGAAGAUAUAAGGAGGUUUAUGUGUGAAAGAGCGUAUCAUAUCACGGGGUUUGGAUGCACCGGCGAAGUUUGCACCAACUCUCAAUGUGAGAAAGGGCAAUGCACGGUACCGAAGAGGCUAGCAAUGAUGGAAAGGUGAGAGUGCGUAUAAUCCAUGGACUCAACAUUAGUCAUAAAGAACUCACAUACUUAUUGCAAAAAUCUACAAGUCAUCAAAAACCAAGAACUACGCGCAUGCUCCUAGGGGGAUAGAUUGGUAGGAAAAGACCAUCGCUCGUCCCCGACCGCCACUCAUAAGGAGGACAAUCAAAGAACACCUCAUGUUUCAAAUUUGUUACAUAACGUUUACCAUACGUGCAUGCUACGGGACUUGCAAACUUCAACACAACUAUUUCUCAAAUUCACAACUACUCAACUAGCACAACUUUAAUAUCACUACCUCCAUGUCUCAAAACAAUCAUCAAGCAUCAAACUUCUCUUAGUAUUCAACACACUCAUAAGAAAGUUUUUACUAAUCUUGAAUACCUAGCAUAUUAAGAUUAUUUAAGCAAAUUACCAUGCUAUUUAAGACUCUCAAAAUAAUCUAAGUGAAGCAUGAGAGAUCAAUAGUUUCUAUAAAACAAAUCCACCACCGUGCUCUAAAAGAUAUAAGUGAAGUACUAGAGCAAAAGCGAUAUAACUCAAAAGAUAUAAGUGAAGCACAUAGAGUAUUCUAAUAAUUUCCGAAUCAUGUGUGUCUCUCUCAAAAGAUGUGUACAGCAAGGAUGAUUGUGGUAAACUAAAAAGCAAAGACUCAAAUCAUACAAGACGCUCCAAGCAAAACACAUAUCAUGUGGUGAAUAAAAAUAUAGCUCCAAGUAAAGUUACCGAUGGAAGUAGACGAAAGAGGGGAUGCCUUCUGGGGCAUCCCCAAGCUUUGGAUUUUAGGUGUCCUUAGAUUAUCUUGGUGGUUCCAUGGGAAUCCCCAAGAUUAGGCUCUUGCCACUCCUUGUUCUAUAAUCCAUCAAAUCUUUCACCCAAAACUUGAAAACUUCACAACACAAAACUCAGCAGAAAAUCUCGUGAGCUCCGUUAGCGAAAGAAAACAAAAGACCACUUCAAGGUACUGUAAUGAACUCAUUAUUUAUUUAUAUUGGUGUUAAACCUACUGUAUUCCAACUUCUCUAUGGUUUAUAAACUAUUUUACUAGCCAUAGAUUCAUCAAAAUAAGCAAACAACACACGAAAAACAGAAUCUGUCAAAAACAGAACAGUCUGUAGUAAUCUGUAACUAACGCAAACUUCUAGAACUCUAAAAAAUCAGCCAAACUAGGACGACCUAGAAAAUUUGUUCAUUGAUCAGAAGCAAUUGGAAUCAAUAUUUUAUCACGUUCUGGUGAUUUUUAACAAUUAUUUUCGUGAACAGAAAGUUUCUGGAAAUUUCUGCAAGAUCAAAUAACUAUCAUCCAAGAAGAUCCUAUAGGUUUAACUUGGCACAAACACUAAUUAAAACAUAAAAACACAUCUAACCAGAGGGUAGAACAAAUAUUUAUUCCUAAACUGAAGCAAAAGGCAAAAAACUAAAAAUAAAAUUGGGUUGAUUCCCAACAAGCGCUAUCGUUUAACGCCCCUAGCUAGGCAUAAAAGCAAGGAUAGAUCUAGGUAGUGCCAUAGUAAUAGGAUAGAUCAUUAAAACUCAUUUCGUAUUCUCUACGUUCAGUAGCAAGUUUCCUUUGAGGCAAGCAAAAGUAAUCAAAAGGGCUAAAUUUAAUGGGACAAAAGUCCCCAAGAUCAAUUUUAGGAGGUAUAGGUUCCUCCUUUGGCCCUUCAUAUUGCACAACCAAUUCAUCAUUAUAAGCAUUCUUUUGACAGAACUUUGUGAGCCUAUACUCGAGAGAAUAUCCUAGCUCAUUAUUUCGAAUAACCAAAUCAUCAUUAAGUUCAGAAAUUCUAUCAACUAGAACAUUGGUAGGGACCUUUUUUCUAAAGUUUUCAUUGAAAGCAACAUAGUCUAGAGAUUGAAAACGCAUUAUUUCUUCUUGAUCAAAGAGGACAGCCUCUAUGGGAGGACGGCCAGCGUCCACCCUAUAAUGCGCAAAGAUUUCCUUGGCCUCCUUUAUUAUAAAUCUGAACUCAUGAGUCAAAAAGAUAGUAGCGGCACGCUUAACAGAAGAAUGCUCUAUAUUAGAAAAUUCUAGGAAAAUCCUUUGUAUGCAAGGGUGCAAGUGCAUAAAUUGCCUUUCAAGUUCAACUAUAAGCAUGGCAAUAGCGUCCGCAAGACUACUAGUUCUAUGAAGAAUGGAACUGCCCAUAGAAGGCAAAGCACCGGCACAAGUUAAGAAAUCUUGAAUAACACCUUUUCCAAUAAUAUUACCACUACCAAUUCAAAAAAAA